UUGCUCUCUGACAAACUCUAUGCUCUCCUGCCUCUUCAGUCUUGGUGGAAUACUUCAAGCACCAUCAGGCCAUAAUGGAGGAUAUGAAAAGCAGCUGGAUCAAAUUUGGAGCACAGUGUCCUCUUCUAUGCAUUACAGAAUUCUUGCCAAUCUGAGACAAACCUUUCCCUCACUCUCCUGCCCUCGUCUGAUCCAUGAACUGAGCUCAUGUCUGCUGUGGCACUUUGGUGGAGCAAUGGAGGAACAUGCUAUGAGGAAUGUAGAAGAUAAAGGAUAAAGUUCAAUAAAUCAGAGACUAGGCUUUUAAGGAAGGUAUAUGAAGAAUGUGAUCAUAGGCUAUCUGUAAAGUGAGUGAACAGUAGAGAUCAGAAGCCAUUUAAACCAAUGGGACUUUUUCCAGAGAAUAUACAGAGCAUCCAGGAGAACUCAAAAAUGCACAGGAAAAGAAAAAAAA